UGGGGAAUUUUGGACAAUGGGCGAAAGCCUGAUCCAGCAAUGCCGCGUGUGUGAAGAAGGCCUUCGGGUUGUAAAGCACUUUUGUCCGGAAAGAAAUCCUUGGCUCUAAUACAGUCGGGGGAUGACGGUACCGGAAGAAUAAGCACCGGCUAACUACGUGCCAGCAGCCGCGGUAAUACGUAGGGUGCAAGCGUUAAUCGGAAUUACUGGGCGUAAAGCGUGCACAGGCGGUUUGCUAAGACCGAUGUGAAAUCCCCGGGCUCAACCUGGGAACUGCAUUGGUGACUGGCAGGCUAGAGUAUGGCAGAGGGGGGUAGAAUUCCACGUGUAGCAGUGAAAUGCGUAGAGAUGUGGAGGAAUACCGAUGGCGAAGGCAGCCCCCUGGGCCAAUACUGACGCUCAUGCACGAAAGCGUGGGGAGCAAAACAGGAUUAGAUACCCUGGUAGUCCACGCCCUAAAACGAUGUCAACUAGUUGUUGGGGAUUCAUUUCCUUAGUAACGUAGCUAACGCGUGAAGUUGACCGCCUGGGGAGUACGGUCGCAAGAUUAAAAACUCAAAGGAAUUGACGGGGUCAUAGCUGUUUCCU
rnacentral:rRNA from 1 species